ensembl:piRNA 21ur-5152 ncRNA
UUAUUUAGCAAUCGUUCUACA